rnacentral:rRNA from 1 species
GUGGGGAAUCUUCCGCAAUGGACGAAAGUCUGACGGAGCAACGCCGCGUGAGUGAUGAAGGUCUUCGGAUUGUAAAACUCUGUCUUUGGGGACGAUAAUGACGGUACCCAAGGAGGAAGCCACGGCUAACUACGUGCCAGCAGCCGCGGUAAUACGUAGGUGGCAAGCGUUGUCCGGAUUUACUGGGCGUAAAGGGAGCGUAGGCGGAUUUUUAAGUGGGAUGUGAAAUACCCGGGCUUAACCUGGGUGCUGCAUUCCAAACUGGAAGUCUAGAGUACAGGAGGGGAAAGUGGAAUUCCUAGUGUAGCGGUGAAAUGCGUAGAGAUUAGGAAGAACACCGGUGGCGAAGGCGACUUUCUGGACUGUAACUGACGCUGAGGCUCGAAAGCGUGGGGAGCAAACAGGAUUAGAUACCCUUGUAGUCC